rnacentral:ncRNA from 1 species
GACGGCUCUCGAGAUCAAGCCGCAUGAGGUGGGAUUGACCUAUGAUUAUGCCGCGCGCGUCUCUGCCUUUCGCGAGGUGCAGGUGCGUGCGCGGGUAGGCGGCAUCCUGCUGCGCCGCAAUUUCACCGAAGGGGCCGAGGUCAAGGCCGGCGAUCUCCUGUUCGAGAUCGA